AUGUAGAUACAGGUGGUGCAUGGCUGUUGUCAGCUCGCGUCGUGAGAUGUUGGGUUAAGUCCCGCAACGAGCGCAACCCUUAUUUUUAGUUGCUAAUUUAGUUUAGGUUUUCUAGAAAGACUGCCGGUGACAAACCGGAGGAAGGUGAGGAUGACGUCAAGUCAGCAUGCCCCUUAUGCCUUGGGCUACACACGUGCUACAAUGGUUAAGACAAAGAGUUGCGAGCUCGUGAGAGUCAGCUAAUCUCAUAAACUUAGCCUAAGUUCGGAUUGUAGGCUGCAACUCGCCUGCAUGAAGUCGGAAUCGCUAGUAAUCGCUGGUCAGCCAUACAGCGGUGAAUCCGUUCCCGGGCCUUGUACACACCGCCCGUCACACCAUGGGAGCUGGUCAUGCCCGAAACCGUUAGCUUAACCUUUAUGGAGAGCGGCGUCUAAGGUAGGGUUAGUGACUGGGGUG
rnacentral:rRNA from 1 species